UGUAAUAAUGCAUCUUUGCUC
rnacentral:piRNA from 1 species